GGGCCUGCACAAGCGGUGGAGCAUGUGGUUUAAUUCGAAGCAACGCGCAGAACCUUACCAGCCUUUGACAUCCUAGGACGGUUUCUGGAGACAGAUUCCUUCCCUUCGGGGACCUAGUGACAGGUGCUGCAUGGCUGUCGUCAGCUCGUGUCUUGAGAUGUUGGGUUAAGUCCCGCAACGAGCGCAACCCUUAUUCUGUGUUGCUAUUUAUAGGAAACUCAGAAGACUGCCGGUGAUAAGCCGGAGGAAGGUGAGGAUGACGUCAAGUCAGCAUGCCCCUUACGACCUGGGCCACACACGUGCUACAAUGGCCGGGACAAAGAGAUGCAAUCUCGCGAGAGCAAGCUAACCUCAAAAACCCGGUCUUAGUUCGGAUUGUAGGCUGAAACUCGCCUACAUGAAGCUGGAAUCGCUAGUAAUCGCAGGUC
rnacentral:rRNA from 1 species